rnacentral:lncRNA from 1 species
AAUAGAAACGCCAGAUUCCGGUGCGUAACCAAGUAAUAGCAUAUCAUGGCAACAGUUCGACUUGGUUAAAAACAACAACAUCAACAACAACAACAACAACGUGGAGGCAGUAGCAUCCCACACACUUUCUUAGCUAAGCAUCUGAUCAAGUACCUGACACUACAUACCCUGUAUGUUACACAUGUAACCAGAACAUUACACUAUUCAACACAGUAACUAUCUGACACAUACUUAUCUGACAGUGGUACUCAGACUCAGUCUCUGCUAGUCAAUCCAUCAGUCACAAGCACACAUACAAGAGAAUCGUCCCAAAUGGCAUUUACCCAUAAGGCUCUGGUCAAAAGUUGUGGCCUUUAUAGAGGAAAAUGUUCCAUUUGGGACGCAGACAUAGUCACAGAGGUGACGUUAGGGAGGUCACAGAGGUGACGUUAGGGAGGGUCACAGAGGUGACGUUAGGGGGGUCACAGAGGUGGCGUUCUGAGGCUCAUGUCCCAUUGCUGUGUCACCACAGUGACCCGGUGAGGGUGUCGGUCUAACAGAGGUAUGACAUCACAAAAACGCCACACGGGUUAAUGCUGCAUGAAUUGCAAAACUCCCUUUCAACUAAAGUACAAAUGUAAAAAAAAUAGAUAAAAAACAUGAGACAAAAAUAGAAGACAAAUAAGAUCGAAGACAAACCCAGAGAACACAUAUUAGUUAAAAAGGUCUAUAAAAAUACUACUAUAGCUACUGUAGAAAGAGCAGCCCUGCAGGCCUCCGAGGUUUCUCUCCAGAGGUUUCUCUCCAGAGGUUUCUCUCCAGAGGUUUCUCUCCAGAGGUUUCUCUCCAGAGGUUUCUCUCCAGAGGUUUCUCUCCAGAGGUUUCUCUUCAGAGGUUUCCCUCCAGAGGUUUCUCUUCAGAGGUUUCCCUCCAGAGGUUUCUCUCCAGAGGUUUCUCUUCAGAGGUUUCUCUUCAGAGGUUUCCCUCCAGAGGUUUCUCUCCAGAGGUUUCUCUUCAGAGGUUUCUCUCCAGAGGUUUCUCUCCAGAGGUUUCCCUCCAGAGUUUUCUCUCCAGAGGUUUCUCUUCAAGAGGUUUCUCUCCAGAGGUUUCUCUGGACCGGGUCCUGGAGAUGGAGGCAGUGUGUGAGGCCGCCCGUCCCGUACUAACAAACAGACAGCCCUCAGAGAGCCAGGCAAGGGGGGGUUAGACCAGGGAUGGGAUGGGGUUGGGGCUGGGGGUACGGCUUGGGGG